rnacentral:lncRNA from 1 species
AGAACUUGAAACUAAAAUUUCUUAUUUGCAAAAACUGAAUCCUUCCCUACGUCUCUAACCUUAGCCGUCGCUACCUGCACCCUACCAACUCAAACCCGUUGCCCCGCCUGCACCGGACUGGACCGCCGCCCAGCACCGAACGGACCCCACUCGGCGACUCCCACCCCGCGACUCCCGCGAAGCCCCCUCUCUGUCUUCACUCUCGCCACCCUCUUCCAACAGUCCCGUUGCGUCGCCGCGAAGUCCAGAUUCGCGCCGCGCCCGCAGCAGGUACCCUCGCCGCCUCUUCCAACAGACGACGACCGACGUCCCUCUCUGUCUCCAGACUCAGCCUCUUUCAGCCUCGCCACGGCCUCCUCCGGUAAGAGUCGUAAAACUUGAAAUUUAAUGGUGAACAACGUCAUUGUUGGAUUGAGUAUAGGGUUUUCUUUGCUGCGUCAUUGUUGAAAUUUAAUGGUGAAUGAUGAUGUUAUAGAGUUAUGUCCUGAAGUGUUCUUUGCUGCUCUAGAUAGUGUUAAGCAUUGUGAAGAAAAAUGAGAUAGUGUUAAUUUACCUUUUGUAAAUAACAUUAUUUUCAAUGCAGUACUUUGCCUUUGCCUUUUGAAAGAUUAUAGAGAUAGUGUUAAUUUGCCUUUUCUAUUAUUAUGUUAAUUUGCCUUUUGUAAAGAACAUUAUAUUAUAGAGAUUUCAUGCAGUACUUUGAUGUUAAAGAGAUUUCAGCGACCCGGACCGAACCGGACCCGUUGCUAGGGUACGGUCCGGUCCCAGGUCAGUCCACACACAAUGAUCGGUUCAGGUCGGUCCAGCUUUUUAGAAAUUUCUGUCCAACAAACUCGACGGGUCGGUUCGGGUCCGACCUGCUGCUCACCCCUAAUUGGUGCGGAUGGAACCAUUAGCAGCACCAUUUGUGUAAACUCUCUGAGAUUGUCAAGCAUGUGCAAGAAACGAGUGGUAAGAAAAAAAAAUCGUAACAUCCGUGUCAAGUGCGCAUGAUUGGGGUGAAGGAGACAACAAUCUACAAUAUUCCCUAAUUCUUCACCGCCGCCCUCGCACGACGCUUUCUUCCAAUGCAAGAAAGUGAAGAAAGUGAUGAAGAGUAAAAAUUUGGUUUAGGGAUUUUGUUAGAUUUAUUGUUAGUUGUUGAGAUUUGUAACAUUUGCU